UACGAGAGGCCCAAACGUUAUUCGGAUUUACUGGGCUUAAAGAGUUCGUAGGCGGCGCAGAAAGUAGGGUGUGAAAGCCCUCGGCUCAACCGAGGAAUUGCGCUCUAAACUACUGUGCUCGAGGGACCUAGAGGUGAGCAGAACUGAUGGUGGAGCGGUGAAAUGCGUAGAGAUCGGGAGGAACACCAGAGGCGAAGGCGGCGACCUGGACAGGCACUGACACUCAACUACGAAAGCGUGGGGAGCAAACAGG
rnacentral:rRNA from 1 species